rnacentral:misc_RNA from 1 species
AAAACCCUUUUUGUGAAUUCAAGCUUCCUCUCAUUUUCUUAAUUCAGUUCUUAUAGAACCGUUUCUUUCAAUUUUCUUUAUAAUUACUGGGAUUUUCUCCUUUUUGUCUGUUAUUUUUGCCAAUCCAUUUUAGGGCAAAUACAACAGUUUAGGAACAUUUUUGGCCUCUAUUUCUCUGCUAAUUUGUUACGUUUAGUGGUUCUAAAUUUAGGAUAUGAGAAGAAGAUUUUAGCUAUAUUAUUAGUUUUAGCUCUGUUUCCUCUGUUUUCCUGGGUUCUGUUUUUGGAACUUUUUGAAUUCUACAAAGGUGGAAAUCCAUUGGCAGAGCUUUUCUGAGGUUGAUUGUACGUUCUCAAUCUUACCCUCCAUGAAAAUGGGUUUCUUCCAUUUUGCAGUUCCGUGCACCCAAGGGGAUGCAUUUGCUCAUUGAUCAUUGUGGUUUUGUAAAGUUUUUAAAAGUUCCGCUUUUAGAAGAAGGAAGAAAUGGCAUCUUCACAGGUCGAGAUUGCUUCCUCUUCACCAUUUGGUUGUAUUUUAAAGGACCAUAACAGGCGAGAACGAUGCACCAGAGAGACCAAUGCCAGGGCUGCUGCUUCUACACAAGCUGCUUUCCAGAAGAAUCUCAGAGAAUUAGUCAGAGACCGUCUCCAUACUUGCAUCUCUGUUUCCUCUGACGAGAAUUCGCGGAAUAAUGUCAAUAACAGUAACAACAAUAAUAAUAUCAGUCAUCAUCAUCAUCGUCAGCACCUAAGAUGUUUGACCAAUCACCCAGAGGAUAAUACCAAUAAUGUAGAUGAGUCUUCUACGAUAAGCUGCAAGCAGGAAAGAAUUCUGGAUCGUUGGGCUGCUAAGCAGGCUCAGGAAAUGGUUUCAACAAUUGAACGGCAGAGUCGGGAGGCAGAUUUCUUGAUUGCAUCGCAGAAAACUUCAUCUUCUGCAAUAGAAAUUUCUCAUAACUCUCAAAAUUUUGUUGCUCAACAUGAAAAUUUAUCUGGAAACUCGAAUCUUGGAGCUUCUUCGCUAGUGCAAAUAUGGGAGGCAAGGCUAAGUCGGCCUGAGCCAAAAAUGGAUCGAUCCAAUAGCCUGAAGAUCAAUCAAAACACAGCAACAAGUGCUAGUAGGACAAGCUCUGGUUCUAGCUUCAUUGAAAUCGUCUCAUCCUCAGUGGAAGAACCACAAAGACAAUCUGAUAUAAUUGACUCUGCAGUGAAUGAGGAACCAUUAGCAGAUUGGGAUUCAACUGCGCAGAGUUCGCGCUCCUCGGUGCAUUUCAGGGGCUCGGACGUAGGAGAGAAUGAGAGGGUUAGAAUUGCAGACAUCAUAAAAAGGCUAACAUCUGAGAGCAGUGAUCAAGAGCAGGGGAAUAGUGUUGGUGAUCUACCAUCCCGUAGACAUUCUUAUGGUUCUGAUCAGGCAGAGCUGAAAGCCCUUUCACAUGUUAUUAAUUCACCAAAAAUAAGAGGGAGACAAGCCUUAAACGAUUUACUCUUUCAAAUGGAGCAAGAAAGGCAGAGGGAGCUCGUAUCACUCUCAGAACGACAAACUGUUUCAAGAUUCCCUCAACGUGGUCGCAUUCAGUCCAUGCUUCGGCUAAGAUGCCUGCAACGUGGUAUGGCGAUUCAAAAUCAACAACGAUCACAGUCAAUUCGAUCAACAAUAGCAUCUGAUGCUCAUAGAUCACAACAAAGUUCUACCAUCAUGCAUUUGAGGGAGAGAUUUAAUGCUGGUGUUGAACAAGGUACUAGCCUAAGUGAUGCAACAGCUACUCAAGGAAGUGGUACAGAUACUGCCAGUAACAUUGUCAUUAAUGGGAAUCCCUCCACUCCCAUUCAUGUCCUUAAAGACAAUCAUCAUCAAGAAGACAGUUCUAAUUCUGAGCAGCAGGCUGCACCCACAGUGGAUAACUCAUUGUCACAGACCAGUGAAAUCCAUGAACAAGAUGCUCAUGAAGAAAGUAGUGCAAGUUCAGAUGUGUCAUGGCAAGGAACAUGUUCAGAGGGUGAUAAUUUUGACCAAGGAGAAGUUUUAGAAUCUACACCAUCCAUUAAUAAUUGGAAUGGGAAUGAGAUGGAUGAUGAAGAGAUUGUUGACCAACAGGACUUAGGGGAAACUAAUUAUGAUUGGUUCGCUGAUAUAGCUCGCCCACGAAGUUAUUGGGAAAAUCGAAGGCAAGCUUGGUAUCAGGAGAUGCUUACUUCUGGCUCAGAGAACAAUGAAAUAAGGCAGCUUCUUGAACGAAGAGCAGUGUCCACUUGUCUCUCGAGUGACUUCAGAGAGAGAAUGGAUCGAUUGAUGGUGUCUCGUGUGCUGAUACAAGCCAAUCGCGAAGAUGAAGAAUUAGACGAGGAAAGUCAGGAGAGAAUGGGGCAGUUGUUAUUGUCUUUCUUCGAGAGGCACCCAUCACGUGCAGCAGGCAUUUCAGAAGAAGAAGAAGAAGAAGAAUCAGAAGAAGAUGAAUCCAGGGAAGGUGCAUCUCUAUCCCCGUGUUCUUCCCUAUAGAAUCGCCUCUUUAUCAUCUUCUUAACAGUCCGGAUUUCCAAUUGGAGGAUAGCCGACGGCUAGUCACAGAGAGAGCGAGAGAGAGAGAGA